rnacentral:rRNA from 1 species
ACUCCUACGGGAGGCAGCAGUGGGGAAUAUUGCACAAUGGGCGCAAGCCUGAUGCAGCCAUGCCGCGUGUGUGAAGAAGGCCUUCGGGUUGUAAAGCACUUUCAGUCGUGAGGAAGGUAGUGUAGUUAAUAGCUGCAUUAUUUGACGUUAGCGACAGAAGAAGCACCGGCUAACUCCGUGCCAGCAGCCGCGGUAAUACGGAGGGUGCGAGCGUUAAUCGGAAUUACUGGGCGUAAAGCGCAUGCAGGUGGUUUGUUAAGUCAGAUGUGAAAGCCCGGGGCUCAACCUCGGAAUAGCAUUUGAAACUGGCAGACUAGAGUACUGUAGAGGGGGUAGAAUUUCAGGUGUAGCGGUGAAAUGCGUAGAGAUCUGAAGGAUACCGGU